rnacentral:ncRNA from 1 species
ACAACGAACUGUGAGAAGUCAGCAGAGGUCAUAGUACCGAAGGAAAUUUCGGGAAGGAC